ACGGGGGGUGCAAGCGUUGUUCGGAAUUAUUGGGCGUAAAGCGCGUGUAGGCGGUUUGUUGAGUCUGAUGUGAAAGCCCCGGGCUCAACCUGGGAAGUGCAUUGGAAACUGGCAGACUUGAAUACUGAAGAGGGUAGUGGAAUUCCUGGUGUAGGAGUGAAAUCCGUAGAUAUCAGGAGGAACACCGGUGGCGAAAUCAGCUGCCUGGACCGAUAUUGACGCUGAUGCUCGAGAGCGAGGUUAUCAAACAG
rnacentral:rRNA from 1 species